GACGAACGCUGGCGGCGUGCUUAACACAUGCAAGUCGAACGGAAAGGCCCUGCUUUUGUGGGGUGCUCGAGUGGCGAACGGGUGAGUAACACGUGAGUAACCUGCCCUUGACUUUGGGAUAACUUCAGGAAACUGGGGCUAAUACCGGAUAGGAGCUCCUGCUGCACGGGGGGGGUUGGAAAGUUUCGGCGGUGGGGGAUGGACUCGCGGCUUAUCAGCUUGUUGGUGGGGUAGUGGCUUACCAAGGCUUUGACGGAUAGCCCGCCUGGGAGGGUGACCGGCCACCUGGGGCCUGCGGGACGCCCCAGUCUCCAACGGGAGGCAGCAGGGGGGAAUAUGGCACAAUGGGCGGAAGCCUGAUGCAGCAGCGCCGCGUGCGGGAUGACGGCCUUCGGGUUGUAAACCGCUUUCGCCUGUGACGAAGCGUGAGUGACGGUAAUGGGUAAAGAAGCACCGGCUAACUACGUG
rnacentral:rRNA from 1 species